rnacentral:lncRNA from 10 species
CCCACCCCCGGCCCGGCCCAGCCCGGCCGCCCUCCCGGCUGCAGGGAAAGGCCUCGGAGGGCCGCCCUCCGUCCAUGGGAGCUGUCCUGACCGCGGGCCGAGUCCUGCUGCCGGGAGAGCAGACCUGCUAGAUUUGCAAACUUCCGCAGGCCGUGCAAAGCGCAGCUGUAACCGCGUCUGCGGAGCAAGACGCCUGCGCUAGGAGCCCCUCCUGAGCGGUCCACAUUUCCCUGCAACAGCAGUCCCCACACCUCAGAACCGCGGUUAUUCCCUUUGGUCCCUUGGAGGCAUCUUCUGUGUCUGUGCUGAUCAGUGCUGCGGCGUCAGUGAAUGAAUGAGAGGGAGAAAGGAAAGAAGAGGAAGGCGUGACUGCAGAAAUUGCUUAAAUUUUGCCUUUUCCAGAAUGUCAUGAAAAUGGAAUCAGACCGUAUGUAGCCUUUUGAGGAUAGAGGAUCUCCCCCACCACCCCAACUCCAGUGAGCUUUCAGAUGAGAUUGUAGCCCCAGAUGACAAUAGGGAGUCUCGCUCUGUCACCCAGGCUGGAGUGCAGUAGUGUUAUCACUGCUCACUGUACCCUUGAACUCCUGGGCCUAAGCAAUCCUCCCACUUCUGCCAGGCCUGAGUAGCUAGAAUUAUAGGUGUGCACCACCUAAUUGUUUUUAUGUAGUCUGUUGAUACGGUGAAUUAUAUUGAUUUUUAGAUGUUGAACCAACCUUUUGUUCCUGGGAUAAACCCAACUUAUUUAUGAUUUUAUCAUUUUAAUGUAUUGCUGGAUUUGAUUAGUAAUAUUUUAUUGGAAAUUUUUACAUUCAUGUUUUGAGAGAUAUUGAUGUAUAGUUUUCUUGUAAUAUCUGCUAAUUUUGGCAUCAGGAUAAUGCUGAUCUCAGAAAAUGAGUUGGGAAGUGUUUAUCUUCCCUUUUAUUUUCUAGAGAUGUUUACAUUAAAUUGGUAUUAUUAAUUCCUUAAAUGUUUGGAAGAAUUUUUUUUGUUUUUU